rnacentral:tRNA from 1 species
GGAGAGUUGACCGAGAGGCCGAUGGUAGCGGUUUGCUAAACCGUCGCUCGAAAGAGCCACAGGUUCGAAUCCUGUACUCUCCGCCA